CCAUAUUACUAUUAAUAUCUAAUUUUAUUCAACAUACAAUUUUACAUUAAUACUUAUGAUCAUGCAAAUCACACCCUUUAUUUAAUUUGACAUCCUGAGAAAGUAAAAAAUAGAUACACCAAGCUUCACUACUACAUAUAUACAUAUAUAUAAUAGCCACAAUUAUUUCUUCUCCCCAUGUUGAAUUUAGAUUAUGUAGUUGGAUUCAUACACUUAAUCAUUCAUGUCUUGGCAAAAUAAAAGGUUAACUUGGUCACCGACAUGCAAAUAAGUUGGUGUAUCAAUCUUGGUUCUAUCUCCGUGGACAAUGUUUUUUCUAAUCAAAGCACCAUCGUUUUGUAAAAGUAUGUUGUCAGUCGACUGCUCACUCUUAUUUGUAGUUGUAACUUGACGAUAGGUUGAAAUUGUUUCGACUCGUGAUAAUGAUUUGUUCCAGUGAGCAUUCUUCAAUUCUUCUAUCUCUUUCUCAAAUCUAUUUACCUCCUCUUCCAGAUGCUUUAGUUUCUGCAACUGAGUCUCGAACGGUGGUGGUAGAAUCAUCUUGGUGCUGUUAUUAAAAUCAUCUAUCAUACUUCCGAUCACCUUCUUUUUUCUCUAUAGUUCUUUUUUCUGCAACUCGGAUAGUUGGUCGAACUUUAUUUGAUUCAAUCUUAUCUCAAGCAUUAAAAUCUUUAGUUUUUCUAACUUGCUUGUUCCACUCAUUUUUUGUGGUGGAGCAGAUAACUGAGACAGAAUGGUGAACAACAUGAUUACAAAGCUUCAAUUGUAGAGUUUCUCUUUGUUUAAUUUCUUACCUUAUG
rnacentral:lncRNA from 1 species